rnacentral:rRNA from 1 species
UGGGCAACCUGCCGUAUACAGGGGAAUAAUCAUUGGAAACGAUGACUAAUACCGCAUGUCACCAUUGGGAGGCAUCUCGCGAUGGGAAAAGGAGGAAUCCGGUAUACGAUGGGCCCGCAUCUGAUUAGCUAGUUGGUGAGAUAAUAGCUCACCAAGGCGACGAUCAGUAGCCGGCCUGAGAGGGUGAACGGCCACAUUGGGACUGAGACACGGCCCAAACUCCUACGGGAGGCAGCAG